UACGUAGGGUGCGAGCGUUGUCCGGAAUUAUUGGGCGUAAAGAGCUUGUAGGCGGUUUGUCGCGUCUGCCGUGAAAUUUCGAGGCUCAACCUCGAACUUGCGGUGGGUACGGGCAGACUAGAGUGUGGUAGGGGAGACUGGAAUUCCUGGUGUAGCGGUGAAAUGCGCAGAUAUCAGGAGGAACACCGAUGGCGAAGGCAGGUCUCUGGGCCACUACUGACGCUGAGAAGCGAAAGCGUGGGUAGCAAACAGG
rnacentral:rRNA from 1 species